CCUAUUAACUAUUAAUUUUAUUGAGAAACCCAACCGUUUCAUUCUUCCUUCAUUGGUAGUAAUAGCCCAUUAAUUUCUACCAAAACCCUUUCUUCUUCCUCUUUGAAUGACAACAAUUUCAAACGCUAAUAUCUCUUUUUUCUCUCCAUGGAUAAAAAGAGGGUUCCACUUUUCCUCCAUGGAUAAAAAGAGAGUUCGACUUUUCUUCUUGAAAUCCAUCAAGGUCCAUGUCAAAAUUGCACUGUAUGUGAUAUGACUUGGAAUUCAACUCAACUUGGUAAUCUAAGGGGGAAAAGACGGGAAAAACGAUCUUGGCCUGUUUUAUCAAUACAUGCCGUCACCAAAAUAUUUAAGCUUUUGGUGAUCUGUCUUUACUUUCUCUUGCAGGUUCAAUCACAGAGAAGUAUUUUUUUCCAGUUUUUGUAGCAAAAGAUCAACCAUUGUUAUCAUUCAUUGGUUUUAUAUUUAAUUCCUUUUUUUCUCUAAACCGUUGUUUAUAUGCUUUUUGGGAGACGGACAUAUGAAUUGUCCUUUCAGCGACUUCACAAAUCGUGCUUAUGGCGCGGGAAAAAGAGAAGACGACUCGCCGUUCUCCUCUCGAUUUCCCCAUUGUGAGCUUUCGCCGACUAUACCAAAGAUGCAAUUACUCUGCCUGAAAGUUACAGUAGUGGACCUGCAUCAUAUCCCCUCAACUGCUAGCCAUGUUGGUAAUGGUGGAAAUUUUUGAUCUGAUGUCCGUGGUGGUGGUCAGGGUAGCCCAGUAACUCAAAUAUUUCUGAUGUUACCGUUGAAGAACUCCAAGAACUUUUUGGAAGUAUUGGACAAGUAAUAUGAAAUUUCUUUUGGUUAUGAUUAUUGUUUUAGAGUUAUUUUUCCAUUAGCAAAUCAUUGUUUUUCUUUAAUUCACAAUUCCAUGAUGCUCAAUGUGGUAUUGCUACUUGGAGGAUGAUGAUAACAUGUCCGGAUACUGAAUAUUUUAGAUCUUUUGUCUUUUAAUGAUAAUAUAAAUAUUGCAUAAUUUCAA